AUUAGGAUACUUUUUUAAUGAAGAUAUUAAAAUAAGAAGUUUGUUCAACUUUUAAAUUCCUACAUGAUCUGAGUUUAGACCGAUGAGAAUCAGGUUGGAUUCUAUCUUAAUAAAAAACAAAUUUUAUUUAGUACGAAAGGAAUUUUAAAAUCUAAUUUUUUAGUAUUAUUUAUUUUAUUUGCAUCAAUUUUUGUAAUU
rnacentral:rRNA from 1 species